rnacentral:tRNA from 1 species
CUUUUAAAGGAUCAAAGUUAAUUCCGU